GAAUGUCAUACAUCCGAGGUCUAAUGUCAGAUAUGAUUAUAUGUUUGACUUUUUCUUUCUAGACAGUAAUGUACACGUGCUUGAAUUCACUGGCAAGGGAAAAACAAAAGAGGUUUAUGAGGGUUUGGAAGGGAAUUGGAUAGUCGUAUGGGCACUACAAACCCCAAAGGAGAUGUAAUAUGUGAGUGUCAAGACAAAACAUGAGAUACCAAAAGUUGCCCCGAUUUGUUGUUUGGGAAAAUGAGCUAGGGUUUGGAUCCAUGAAAAUUAGGGUGAAAAUUCAAAGGAGAUCCAUAAGGCUGCCUCAGUCUCGAGAUUAUGGGCUGAUGAAUUGCAAGGUGAAAAAUUCAUGUGAGUUUCACAAGGUUGCCCUAGUUUUGAGGGUAUGGGUUCUGUUUGGAAGAGGUAGUGGGCAUGAAAAGGAUCGGCUAACAAGGUUGGCCCCAAUUGGUUUGAUUUUUUUUUGCUUCUGGCUAGUUGAUAGGGAGAUUCCCUUUUCCUGAGACAUUACAUUUUUCCUCUUCCUUUGUUUUUUUUUUUUGUUGUUUUUUUUUUCUACUUUUUUUUUACGACACAUUGAAAGUCACUUCGCCUUAACGCAAAAUUAAGCUUUAUGAAAAUUUGAGCAAUCAUUAUCCAAUCUGUGUGGGCUUU
rnacentral:lncRNA from 1 species